UUACAUUUCUGAUGUCAGUGUUAGUUUAUUCAUCUAACUAUAAUAUUAUAUACCUACAGACUACAGAAAAAUAACUAAAAAUUAUGUUUUUGAUCACCAGUUUUUGAUUUCUAGUUUUUGAUAACUUCUAACAAUAGUAAGUAUACCAACACAAUACAGAAGUAAUUUUUUCGGACGUGGACGUGGACGUUUUCGGAUUAUUCCGUCCCAUACAUUAUACAAUAUAACAACAAUAAGAAAUUAUUCACGACAAAAUGAAAACGUUUAACUCGACUAUCAGCGUUUUAUUUCUAUGCCUCGUCUGUCUUCUGGCGGAGGUAAGCUGUAAGAAAACUAAAGACGUGCCCACUUACCAGGAAUUCUCUGAUGCCAUUAAUUCAACAAUACAUAAAAUAGAAGAUGUGUUUCACCCAUACGUCAGUCAUGGCGAUCCGUAUGCUAACAAACCGACGUUUUGCAAUGCUCAAUUGUGUGGUGGUUGUUCGGACCAACCGUUUAUAAACAUUAAUAAUUGCAUUAGAUGGUGUAGACCACCAUGCAUGUGCAUAAGCCCUGCGAGCGGAAGAGGCGAUGACAUAAUGUGUUCAAAGUCCAGACACAAAAGGACCACAUUGUGAUGAAAAUAAUUUGAAAAGGGAAAUGUGAAAAUCUGACGCUCAGAAAUUGGGAUACAGUAGUAGGUAUAUUGAACACCGUAUAAGAACGGAUGAUUAAAGAAUUAAUCUAAUCUAUAGGAAAUAUGAGAAGAGUUACACAAUGUUACAAAUAUGUUGCAAAUAUUAUUUCUAAAUUGUAUCAACUUUUUAAUACAAAAACAACAAUCAAUAAAUAAUUUAAAUAUA